rnacentral:rRNA from 1 species
CCUACGGGUGGCAGCAGUGAGGAAUAUUGGUCAAUGGACGAGAGUCUGAACCAGCCAAGUAGCGUGAAGGAUGACUGCCCUAUGGGUUGUAAACUUCUUUUAUAUGGGAAUAAAACGUUCCACGUGUGGGAUUUUGUAUGUACCAUAUGAAUAAGGAUCGGCUAACUCCGGGCCAGCAGCCGAGGUAAUACGGAGGAUCCGAGCGUUAUCCGGAUUUAUUGGGUUUAAAGGGAGCGUAGGUGGAUUGUUAAGUCAGUUGUGAAAGUUUGCGGCUCAACCGUAAAAUUGCAGUUGAAACUGGCAGUCUUGAGUACAGGAGAGGUGGGCGGAAUUCGUGGUGUAGCGGUGAAAUGCUUAGAUAUCACGAAGAACUCCGAUUGCGAAGGCAGUUCACUGGACUGCAACUGACACUGAGGCUCGAAAGUGUGGGUAUCAAACAGGAUUAGAUACCCUGGUAGUC